rnacentral:lncRNA from 1 species
AGAUGACUGGAGCAAAAUGGUGUAGACUACUCUCGUAGUGUGGAUUGAAUGUUGACAGCAUAAUCAAUUAUUGAAACAAUUUGACAUUUCAUUAUGAUAAGUGUGUAUUUAGUGUAAAAGACAUGAAGCGAAAAUUAUUGAAGGAAAUUAGAUGUUCUGUAGAGGAGGAAUAGCUACUGAGGGGGGAAAAUAAUACUGGCGGUGCUACUGCUGCAAUCCUACGGUAGGUAGGAAUGUGGCAGUAUUUUAUCUCAUUUUGAAAAAUCAUAGUGUAUCUGUAGAUAUAUCUACCUAUGAAAAAAUUGCUAAGUUAGAUACAAGUUAAAAAAAAAAAAAAACAAGUAAAAUUUAGUAGAAAAUUCUGCUUAGUUUUGGAAAUACCGUUAAAAAGAAUGAUGAUACUGAAACGAAGCCUUCACAGGAUUCGUGUUAUCCGUGACUCGACGAAUCCAUCUUUUCUUUCUCCUCCGAAUAUAGCAAGAGGAUUAUCUCUUUUCCCCAGCUCCGUAUAGUUAUCGUCCAGAGAGCUUGUUCUUCCUCUGAACCUUACAGCAUGUCAUCAUGAACUUCACAUCAAUUGAUAUGGAGUUGCUGAUCCAAAGGCCUGGUUCUGGAAUGAUUCUGAGCCACGUGUGGCAUCAUAAUCAAAAUCAAGAUUCUUACUUAAGUGUACAACUUUGCAGAAAACAACACACUAAAUGGAGACAUUGGUGUUGGAAGAUGACUACAGUGACAGCAGGAACUCAAAUGACAGCUUCUUGAAAAUAGCAUCUGCAAUGACAGAAAACCAUUUUAUGUGUGUCACACCAUGAAAGACUGAUUUUAAUAUCUAGUUGAAAAGUCAGGAAAAGCCAAUGUACCCAAACAUUUCAUGUGUUGAUAAGCCUCUUACAGCCUCUUACAACAAUGUUGUCAUAUUAGUCAGGACUAAUGCAUUGGCACAAUUCAAUUCAAACCCUUAACACUUGCCAACCAUAGCUUAAUGGCACAUCCUAUGUCUGACAUGUGAGAGAAGUAGAUACAGGAGGGAGUGUGAGGAGAACCCAUCACUUAUCUUCCAGACGAGCUAGAGGGAGAGUUUGCAAGUUAUUGCUUCCUAUCCCCUCCUCGCCUCUUUCACUCUGCACCAAGUUACUUUCAUAUUUUGUGGCCUAGUAGCAAUAUGGGCAAGAGCAAGGACUUCAGCAAAGAGGAAAUUUCAUCCAUAAGAAUAGGAAAGCAGACAUACCUACAAAUUGUUAGUGCAAGUGCAACUAUGGACCAAACAAUUUUUGAAUGGUGGAAAGACAGCAACACAGCACCAAGGUUACCUGGCGAGGGCUAGAAACCCUUCCCCUCUUUGACUAAGGCAGCAAGUAGAUGCAAACCCACAUCUAACUGCACACUUAGUGAAAGAAUAAAACCCUUGGUUCUUGGUGAGCUGUCAGUGAGGACAGUGCAAUGACACCUCCAUGGCACCUCUCCACCAACACAAAACUGUGGUCUGUCACUGCAUGGUUCUUUCACUCACACCAACAAUUCUAACUGUAUCCUUUGUAGGAAUCUCAACUUGCAUGGGAAUCAGUACCAUUAGAGUAAGGACAAAGAAAAAAAAGAAAAGUUGAGAAAAAAAGGGGGACUAGAGGUUAGUACUUAUUGGCAGUUGUGGUAGCAGUUGCUGUUUAUUUAAUUAAAACUAAAUCAGUGAAGGUCUUCCCUAAAUCUCAGCUGCUUAGAUGGGUAUGGUGGUAGAAAUGUGGUAUUGGUAGUGCCAUGUGGUUGUUGCUGGUAUAGGUUAGUUGGUGAGAUGGUGGUACUGGCGAGACUGUUAGGAGUGCAUGAGAGGUUAAACAAAACUCGCUUAUCCUUGAUUUGAUGUCAGUGUCUUUCAUUUAGGUAAAAAUGGUUGUGUAAUUAGGUUUAUAUACAUUUUUAAGUGAGAAUGUUUAGACUGAUUAAAUAGUAAGUUUCUCAGUUUUGUAGUGCUUUGCUGUUACUGUUCUGUGUAAGAUUUCAGGGGCCGUGUUCUAUAAACCAUCACAGCUAAUGACGUGAUCGUAGCGCAACAAAAUAGUGCAUUUUAGACACAAGUCCCUCUGUGACAGGCUCUAACCUUGUGACUCAUCAUAAGUGCCAAUAUAGGGUUCAGUCUGUUGUAGUGCUACCAACUGCUGUCUUAAAACUCUUGUCAACAUGGUGGGGGCUUGGCUGUAUGUACCAUAGCGUGAUCCCUGACAGUUUUCAAUAUUAAUUAAUUAUAAAUACCCGUAAGGAUGACUAAAUGAUGUCCUUAUUUGAUGCAGUAAUUUACCAAUAUAGAUAACUGCUGAGAGGGGUAUGAUAAAUUUUUCCCAAACUCAAACAAACCUUGCCGUGAGUGGCCUGCAUGUGUCGGGCUAUUGAGUGUAAUCUUCUGUUUGCCAUGUUUCUUUUGUUUGGAUACACAGUCUAACUAUUUCCAAAGUUGUAAUAUGGUGGCAAAAUAAUUUAGAUUGUAGAAAAUUAUAUCAAGGAGCUAUUUCUCUCUAUUCAUAUAUAAAGUUGACAAGUAAUGAGGCUAAAGACCAACAGUGGAGUGAUGGUCAGGCAUUGAGUGAAAUCUGAGGCUGACUGUGUAGAAUGCGGCCCCAGAAUGAUAGCCUGUGUUUUGUAUAUUUACAGUGACAAUAUAGUGUUGCAAGGAACAACAUGCUGUUUGAGAGCAAUGCCAUUGUGAGAUGCUUAAAAAAUAAUUUUACAGUUGAUAGUUUCUCCUUAGACUUUUGCAAUGAAAAUGGUCUCAAAAUACUUUUAGAACUUGUAGUUUCUAGCAAUGAAAAUGCUCUCAAAAUACUACUCUUCUCUUCUUUUAUUUUGUUAUAUUAUACAAAUGUAUGGAUGAUAAUGAUAGGUGGAAUGAGGUAGACCUGUUCGUACAGGGACUGCUGUCAUGUAUGUGCAGGCCUCAUGGCUUGCAACUUUCAUUUUGGUUUCCGUAAUAUUGUCAAAAUAAUUUUGGACGUUGAAAAAAUCUCAGAGUAAUGUAAUACUUGAAAAAAUUGCAAAUUAUUCUAAGUUGAAAAUGUAAAAAGUGUCAAAAAUAGUACAAAUUCUGCUAUUCCACUGUAAAAUUUUUUAAAGUUGAAAAUGGUAAAAACUAUUGUAAAUUGUGUACAAAUUGUAGAUUGUGUGUAAAAUUUUUAUAAGUUGAAAAUUUUGGUAGAGUUUUAAGAAAGUUGUGUGUAAAAUUUUUCUAAGUUGAAAAUUUUGGUAGUUUUCAGGAAGUUGUGUAGAAUUUUUUAUCUAAGUUGAAUUAAGAAAGUUGUGUGUAAAAUUUUUAUAAGUUGAAAAUUUUGGUAGAGUUUCAGAGACUCGUGUAAAAAUGUGUUUGUUGAUUGAAUAAAAGGGAAGGGAGACUC